rnacentral:rRNA from 1 species
GAUGAACGCUGGCGGCGUGCCUAACACAUGCAAGUCGAGCGAUUCUCUUCGGAGAAGAGCGGCGGACGGGUGAGUAACGCGUGGGUAACCUACCCUGUACACACGGAUAACAUACCGAAAGGUAUGCUAAUACGGGAUGAUAUAUAGAAAUCGCAUGAUUUUUAUAUCAAAGAUUUAUCGGUACAGGAUGGACCCGCGUCUGAUUAGCUUGUUGGCGGGGUAACGGCCCACCAAGGCGACGAUCAGUAGCCGACCUGAGAGGGUGAUCGGCCACAUUGGAACUGAGACACGGUCCAAACUCCUACGGGAGGCAGCAGUGGGGAAUAUUGCACAAUGGGCGCAAGCCUGAUGCAGCAACGCCGCGUGAGCGAUGAAGGCCUUCGGGUCGUAAAGCUCUGUCCUCAAGGAAGAUAAUGACGGUACUGAGGA